rnacentral:rRNA from 1 species
UACGGAGGGUGCGAGCGUUAUCCGGAAUUACUGGGUUUAAAGGGUGCGUAGGCGGCCCUGUAAGUCAGGAGUGAAAGUUUGCGGCUCAACCGUAAAAUUGCUUUUGAUACUGCGGGGCUAGAAUUAGGAUGAGGUCAGCGGAAUGUGGCAUGUAGCGGUGAAAUGCAUAGAUAUGCCAUAGAACACCAAUUGCGAAGGCAGCUGACUAGACCUGGAUUGACGCUGAGGCACGAAAGCGUGGGGAUCAAACAGG